rnacentral:rRNA from 1 species
CCUACGGGUGGCAGCAGUGAGGAAUAUUGGUCAAUGGGCGGAAGCCUGAACCAGCCAAGUAGCGUGCGGGAUGAAGGCUCUACGGGUCGUAAACCGCUUUUGCACGGGGAUAACACCCUCCACUUGUGGAGGUCUGCAGGUCUCGCGCGAAUACGGGCCGGCAAAUUCCGUGCCAGCAGCCGCGGUAAUACGGAGGGCCCGAGCGUUAUCCGGUUUUAUUGGGCUUAACGGGAGUGUAGGCGGGCGUUCAAGUCAGCUGUAAAAUCGCGCGGCUCAACCGCGCCCCGCAGUUGAAACUGGACACCUUGAGUGCACAACAGGCAAGCGGAAUUCGUGGUGUAGCGGUGAAAUGCGUAGAUAUCACGAGGAACCCCGGUGGCGAAGGCAGCCUGCCGGAGUGCGACUGACGCUGAGGCUCGAAGGUGCGGGUAGCAAACAGGAUUAGAUACCCGUGUAGUC